rnacentral:rRNA from 1 species
GACGAACGCUGGCGGCGUGCUUAACACAUGCAAGUCGAACGGAAAGGCCCUGCUUUUGUGGGGUGCUCGAGUGGCGAACGGGUGAGUAACACGUGAGUAACCUGCCCUUGACUUUGGGAUAACUUCAGGAAACUGGGGCUAAUACCGUAUAGGAGCUCCUGCUGCAUGGUGGGGGGUGGAAAGUUUCGGCGGUUGGGGAUGGACUCGCGGCUUAUCAGCUUGUUGGUGGGGUAGUGGCUUACCAAGGCUUUGACGGGUAGCCGGCCUGGGAGGGUGACCGGCCACAUUGGGACUGAGAUACGGCCCAGACUCCUACGGGAGGCAGAAGUGGGGAAUAUUGCACAAUGGGCGGAAGCCUGAUGCAGCAACGCCGCGUGCGGGAUGACGGCCUUCGGGUUGUAAACCGCUUUCGCCUGUGACGAAGCGUGAGUGACGGUAAUGGGUAAAGAAGCACCGGCUAACUACGUG